GUCUCAUGAUUAAUAAUAACCCAAAUGGUGCAGCCAUGACCUUUAUUUAUUUUUUUUAAGAUACUACUAGUUAAAGUUGACCUUCGCUAUUCAUGGGGGAUAACGAUGUAAUCCCCCUUCACCGUGAAAUAGCGGAAACCCAUAAAUAUUUGACGGCCCUUGAAAUGUAUACGAAAAAAAAUUACACCCCACCCCCCCCAAAAAAAUCUU